UUUUUUUUUUUUUGCGUUUCAAGAAACAAUCUCACUUCUAAUAUAAAUUGAUUUCAAGAAAUUGGUGACAGUGGAGAAAGACGGCGAUUGGAAAGAAACGGACAAAUGUCUAGAAAUUGAAGACGAUGAUUUUGGAGAGCAAACGUUCUUGGCUGUUCUCCUUUUCUUUUCAUGUUUUCCAUUUUUUUUUUUCUUCAGGUACUAUUAUCCAUUCUAUAAACCCACAUUCUCUCUACUUACAGUUUCUAUCGGAUGAAUAGCACAUUCACUAUUCAUCUCACGCCACCUUUCCCUCUUCUUUUUCCCUUCUUGAUCGAACGCUUCGCUUGCCUUAGUAACUUCCCAUCUGAAGCGAACUUUUGAUAAAUUCUUUCGUUUGAUCUCAACAAAUCAAACCUCCGGAAUCCUGUUACAAAGCAGAGAAAUCAUCAACUAUGUUCGGCGUGGCUUUCACCCAAAUCGACACCUUUCACUGGCUUCUUGCGCCGGUGAUGGCCACAGUGGACAGAUAGUUUCUUUUGCCAGUCUGAUUCCAGCAUUCGUUUCCCACUUUCACAAUCUUGAGGUGUUCCGAUCAGUUAUGAUGGUUGAUGGGAGUAAGUUGUUGGUGCUAUUCAAUCGGUGGUUUAAGCAGUUUCAAGAACGGGCAAGAUGAGAUCCUGAGUUACUUGAAAGGAUUUGCGUACAUCUCUUAUGUUUUUUCAAACAACUUUUUAUUUUGCACUUAAUGUGUUCGAUCAAAUGUCUGUGAGAUAAAAGCUUGAGUUUACCCAUUAUAGACUGGGGAUACCAAAUCUAGUUUCACUAGAAGUGUAUCAAGAAAUUGAAAAAUACUUUCAUUUAUUAAUCCAGGUUGAUUUUCUCACCUUGGUGAUGAUUAUGAAUAUCCCAAUAACAGUUGAUGUUGAAAUUUGAAAGAAAGUUUCACCAUGCAUACCAAGUGUUCGAUAAAAUGCUUGAACCAGGGCAAUCCAGUCCUUAAAGAGCAAUAACCUCCAAUCCUUAAAGGGCAAUAACAGGGCAACAUGGGAGAUGUUUGAGACAACUUGAGUUAUAGAAUCAGGCCAUGAAAUCCAAACAAAAGAAAAAAACAAAUUAUAAUGAUAUCUAAUUGCAAUUUUAUA